GGGAGAACAACCCAAGGGGUGGGGGGGCGGAAGACUUCCUCCUCUGCAGGAAGGCUUCGGGGAAAGACGGGCAUCUCGAGGAUUCAGGGCCAGUUAAAGAUGGGACAUGCUUCUGGCCAGCGAUAGCAAAGCCUCUCUGCGUUUUAGCCAUAAGGCCACAAACCUUCAAAAGCGGAGUGAACAGAGAGGAACAGAUCUUUGGUUUUCCCGAACUGGUACAUCAGAGCUGAACUGGAAAGCCUCCAAGUUGUUCCAAGCCUAGUCAGACUGUUUCCUAAACCAUCCAAUUGGGGGCUGAAUUAUCUUCCGGCUGGUGCACUCUCCCAAUUUAAAUUCAUUCCUGAGUAUCUGAUCUGUUGUUUUGUAAAUUCGUUUUGGACCUGUGGGAUCACUUAUACAUCGAAUAGAAGAAUUUGGAGCUGUCAGCCUAAUCUUCCUCUUCACCUAGAGUUUCAGCUCUUAAGUGCUCAAAGUGAUCUCUCAUAUAUAUAAUUGAGUCGUGCUAGAACAUGGCAUCAGGCCCUGAAUUUUAAUGUUGAAAGGGGAUCCCCAAUUAUAACGGAUGCCCAAAUGUUUGGCAGCUUGCUUGUGAAAGGGCAUGGAGUCCUCUUGAGAAAUAUUGAUACAGGUGUGUUUUUAGUGGUUACAGCUUCAUGAGUUCAUAAUAUAUUGUUGGUUUAAGGGUACUUCACACAAAUCUGAUUGUAAUACAAUAAAGUACAAUAUAUGAAAUAAAAGCAGCAAUUAAAAUGCAAUUAAAAUCAAUAUGAAUAUUUAAUGCAGACAUGCUAUAGUUCACCCAAAUAAAGUUUGUCAAACAC